rnacentral:rRNA from 1 species
GAGAAUAAUGAUAUAAGCAAUAUACUUGUCUUGAACUCACAAACUCAUAGCUAUAGAUAGUAACUCAUUCGGCUUCCAUAACCCCAACUAAGAGAUUUAGUUACCCAUGAAUGCGAAGGAUAUCACGUUUUGCAUGGUGGAUGGCGUGAAUAGUAGGUGUUUGGCGUGUGGUUUUAGUGAUUCCGUAGCAAGUAACGAUUCUCUUGUUGUGGAAUUUAAGAGUAGAAGAAUGAAGAAUUGAGAAUGGGUUGUAGGAAGAUGUCUUAAUUGUAAGGAGAUGAAUGAAUUGUCAGAAUGUCUUCCCCCCCUCUUUAAAAUCUCUAACAUGAUAGGGUAUUUAUAAUACUCCUAUCCUACUCCUACUAAACUAAUAAAAUAAAUAACCAAAUCCUAAUAUACUAAUGAAAUCCUUGACCCAAUUGUACUAGGGUAAGGUUACAAAAUUAUAAUCCAAAUAGAAUGAUGAAACACAUAACCUAAUUGCACUAGGUUAAUGUAUUAUGGCAAAAAUCCAGCUUUGUGUCUGUAAGUCCCAAAGUCUUCAGAAAUGCUGUUUUAGCCCGGGACAGAUUUUCCAUGCAGCAGAUUUAGUCCUUUAUGCGUCCAGCUCCUUUCCAUCUCGUUUGUGAGCUUUCUUUUGCGUCAAGUAAGCCAUAAAUUGCUGUAUUUUGCAUCAUUUAUACCUGAAACUUUCCUAAUCACAUUUGUUAGCUCAUUUACAGGAAAAAGGACUAAAAGUGUACGAAAUAGAUAAUUAGUUCUCGAAACUAGGCUAAAAUAUGGGCAAAAUAUAUUGAUAUAGGCGCGUAAUUUCGCCUAUCAUCACGCCACACAACCCGUCGCACACUUGUUCCAGUAGCCAUGUGCGAUUGUUUAUGCAUCGCACUCCUACUUUGCAGGGCCAUAACUUCUUGAUCGGAUGUUAGAUUUUUAUAAAAUUGGAAUCAUUGGAAAGAUGAUUCGAUUCUCUACAAUUUGGUGGGUAUAAAUCUGCCAAAAUGUCACAUAUAAAUCAAGUUAUCCUCGUUCAAAGAUCACUCUUGUGGAAACACACACUAAAGCUUGAUGGAUCCAAAAGCUAUUAGCUUUCCUUACUCUGAGUGACUCGCAUGAGCAUGCUUAACACAUCAUAAGCUAUCUUAUCUCUAGGAUUCUAAUUGUAAAUCAUGUACUCAAAUAUGAAUCAUUGGAUAUAAGGUUUCAUACGUCAGAGAACUGAUUUAUUUCCUCUCUUGGAAAUAUAUGGGGUAUUACAUAUAAGUCGGAGGAACCCAGACAGAUAGCUCAUUUCGCGUAUACUCCAAAAGGGAAUUGGAUUAAAAUUCUUAAAUCGGGAUAUGGUGGUCGACCACAAUGUUAGGAAGUCCGAAGAUGUUGGUGAGAGCCUUAGAAAGAGUUAUCUUUUCUGCUUAACAACCUGCCCACCCUAGAAUUAGCUUAGUCAGAGGUAGGGUCUAGCGGUUGGAAGAGCACCGCAUGUCGCAUGGUGUUCGGUACUCUCCUGAUGGCCCUUAAAAAUUUAGAAGACCAAAUGCCAUCCAUGCUCAGUCAUAAUCUUAACCGCAUCAGGUCUCCAAGGUGAACAAGCUCUGGUCGAUGGAAUAUUGUAGGCAAGGGAAGUCAACAAAAUGGAUCCGCAACUUCGGGAAAAGGAUUGGCUCUAAGGGCUGUACAUGGGGGUUUCAGCCCUAAACCCAUCGGAUGUCGGUGGACUGCUUGAGCAGCUUCUGUGGCGAGAUCGGGUCAUCACGUGUCGUCCAGGGAACAGACUGGGAACGGUUCUUUUGAGGGCCUUCCCUACACGUUGAAUAUCCCACUCAAAACUGGUACGGACAAGGGGAAUUCGACUGUUUAAUUAAAAAAAAGAAUUGCAAUGGCCCCAAUAUAUAUUCAUGCAAUGUGAGUUUUUCCUAGUGUUCUAAAUGUCAAAGUGAAGAAAUGCAACCAAGCGCGGUAAACAGUAAGAGUAACUAUGAAUCUCUUAAGGUAGCCAAAUUCCUUGUCAUCUAAUUAGUCACGUACAUGAAUGGAUUAAUGAGAUUCCCACUAUCCCUAUCUACUAUCCAGCAAAACCACAGCAAAGGGAAUGGUCUUAGCUAAGUCAAUGGGGAAAAAAGACCUUUUUGAACUUCACUCUAGUUCGACUUUGUGAAAUGACUUGAGAGGUAUAGUAUAAGUGGGAUACAAAAGGCAAAAUUUAAAUACCAUUACUUUUAACGUUAUUUUACUUAUUUUGUGAAUUGGAAGUGGGGCACUGCCCUUCUUUUUAAACCCAAGGCUAGCUCUGCAGGUCGAUCCGAGUGGAAGACAUUGUCAAGUGAGGUGUUUGGUUGGGGCGGCACAUUUUCUAAAAGAUAACGUAGGUGUCCUAAGAUCUGCUCAACAAGAACAUAAAUAUCGUAUGGAACAGAAGGGUAAAAACUUAUUUGAUUCUGAUUUAUAGUAUGAAUACAAACUGUAAAAGCGUGGCCUAACAAUUCUUUAGACCUUCAGAAUUCGAAGCAAGAGGUGUCAGAAAAAUUACCACCAGGAUAACUGGCUUAUGACAGUCAAGUGCUAAUAGUGACGUUGCUUUUUGAUCCUUCGAUGUUGGCUCUUUCUAUCAUUGUGAAGCAUAAUUCACCAAGUGUUGGAUCGUUCACCCACUAAUAGGGAAUGUAAGAUGGGUUCAGACCAUCGUUAGACAAUUUAGUUUUACCCUACUGAUGAUUGUGACACAAUUAUAAUUCAACCUAGUAUGAGAGAAACAAUUGAUUCAAAUAAUUGGGCAUCGCGCUUGGUUGAAAAGCCAAUGGCGUGAAGCUACUACGUGCUGGAUUAUGGCUGAAUGAAGUCAGAAUCUGGGCUAAGCGAUGCAUAUGCCUGCCAUUUACUUGACGAGCCGCAGUAGGGAUCUCGGCCCCCAAGGGCACAUGUCAUUGGCUAAGACAUCAUAGCGAAAGGGUCACGGUGGCCUCCUUGAAGUACAAUUUUAUCGAGUGGUGGCUAGAAUCCUUUGCAGAUAACUUAAAUAUGCGACAGGGUUUUCUAAGUGGUAGAAUGGCCUUGUGUAAGGACC